rnacentral:rRNA from 11 species
UUGCCUUACCAAAAUACACUGAAGCCACAAGAUCCCAUCUGAUCUUGGAAGCUAAGCAGGGUCAGUCCUGGUUAGUAUGCGGAUAGUAAUAUUGGAUGGGUCAUUUUUGGAUGGGCCAAC